rnacentral:rRNA from 1 species
CGGACGGGUGAGUAAUGUCUGGGAAACUGCCUGAUGGAGGGGGAUAACUACUGGAAACGGUAGCUAAUACCGCAUAACGUCGCAAGACCAAAGAGGGGGACCUUAGGGCCUCUUGCCAUCGGAUGUGCCCAGAUGGGAUUAGCUAGUAGGUGGGGUAAAGGCUCACCUAGGCGACGAUCCCUAGCUGGUCUGAGAGGAUGACCAGCCACACUGGAACUAAGACACGGUCCAG